GGGGCGGAGUCUGUCCCGGCUGCCCCGCCCCUCCCGGCUCCGGCGACAUCGCCCUAGGCGGCAGGGGGCGGUGGCUAAGGGCUCCGCAGCAGGAAGCGGGCGGCCGCGUGCUCGGCUGGGUCCACCCCUGCGGGCCCACAGCCUGGGACGCGGGUGGCUUUCGCUCACUCUGAGGUAUAGGGCGCGACUGUCCGGUUCCCGCUAGGAAGCUGAUCACUGGUCGGAUAUCAGAGAAAUGGCGGAGAGUUGACACUGUGUGCGCCUUCGUCACAAGAUCCGCUUUUUAUCAAUCGAUAGGUUGGUUGGGGUUGCCUUCUUCUUCAGCAAAUAAGAACAGAUCCCAGGUAGCUGUUGGUCCAAGGAAAAUGGAAGAUGAGUGGAGCUGACCUGAACCUGACCUGUGUCCUGAAGCAGGGCUCCCCCAUGCUACU